UCCCUUAGUAACUGCGAGUGAAGCGGGAAAAGCUCAAAUUUAAAAUCUGAUGGUCUUUGGCCAUCCGAGUUGUAAUCUAGAGAAGUGCUGCCCACACUGGACCAUGUAUAAGUCUUCUGGAAUGAAGCGUCACAGAGGGUGAGAAUCCCGUCUUUGACAUGGACUCCCAGUAUGUUGUGGUGUGCUCUCAAAGAGUCGAGUUGUUUGGGAAUGCAGCUCUAAAUGGGUGGUAACCUCCAUCUAAAGCUAAAUAUUGGCGAGAGACCGAUAGUGAACAAGUACCGUGAGGGAAAGAUGAAAAGAACUUUGGAAAGAGAGUUAAACAGUACGUGAAAUUGUUGAAAGGGAAACGCUUGAAGUCAGUUGCAUUGGUUGGGGAUCAACCUAGCUCUUUUGCUUGGUGUACUUCCUGUUUGAUGGGCCAACAUCAGUUUUGACUGCUGGAAAAGGGCGGAGGGAAUGUGGCACCUCUGGGUGUGUUAUAGCUCUCUGUCAUAUAUGGCAGUUGGGACUGAGGAAUGCAGCGCGCUACAAGGCCGGGUUUCGACCACGUUCGCGCUUUGGAUGUUGGCAUAAUGGCUUUAAUCGACCCGUCUUGAAACACGGACCAAGGAGUCUAACAUGCCUGCGAGUGUUUGGGUGGAAAACCCGAAUGCACAAUGAAAGUGAAAGUUGAGAU
rnacentral:rRNA from 1 species